rnacentral:tRNA from 1 species
GUUUACAAAGCUCAUUAUGAGCGCAGCCCUGAAGAGGCUGAGGAUCACUCGUGAUGUAAGCA